CCUACGGGGGGCAGCAGUGAGGAAUAUUGGUCAAUGGACGGAAGUCUGAUCCAGCCAUGCCGCGUGCAGGAAGACGGCUCUAUGAGUUGUAAACUGCUUUUGUACAAGGGUAAACCUGAAUACGUGUAUUCAGCUGAAAGUACUGUACGAAUAAGGAUCGGCUAACUCCGUGACAGCAGCCGCGGUAAGACGGAGGAUCCAAGCGUUGUCCGGAUUUAUUGGGUUGAACGGGUGCGUAGGCGGAUUGAUAAGUUAGAGGUGAAAUGUCCGGGCUUAACUCGGGAACUGCCUCUAAUACUGUUGAACUAGAGAGUAGAUGCGGUAGGCGGAAUGUAAGGUGUAGCGGUGAAAUGCUUAGAGAUCAGACAGAACACCGAUGGCGAAGGCAGCUUACCAAUCUAUAUCUGACGUUGAGGCACGAAAGCGUGGGGAGCAAACAGGAUUAGAUACCCUAGUAGUC
rnacentral:rRNA from 1 species